CCAGCAUGCCCUGACAGCCGAAGGCAUGCUGUGAGUUGUAGUUUUGCAACAGGUGGACAGCCACAGGGGAUCACUGAUGCAGUACGUCAAUCUAAGGCCAUGGUGUCUGAUCUUGAACUGGCAGCAGGAGCCACGACCACUUUAAAUCAAUGGCUGCCGGGACGUCUGACGAGUGACAUCCUACGCUGCAGACCCCAACGUCAGGGACGUCACUUGUCAGACAUCCUGGCGACCAGCGCUGCUUAUUGAGCCUGCCGGAGCCGCACUGAUCUAUCCAAUCAGAGAGCAGCACUGCUCAAAUAGAACUCCCAGGAGGUAACAGCGUGUCACACAUGUGAUGUCAUAACCAUUGUCCACCAGAGAGCAGCACUGAGCAGAUAUAACACUGCUCCUGCUCAUUCUCCAUCAGUGAGGGGUCGGUGCUGGACACUGUAGGGACGCGGGAAUGUGAAGUCAAAAACAUGACUGUGACUGAUGCAUUAUUUCCAGCAUGUGGAGUAGCAUUUCCGGACUUAAAGCAAGAAGUUGGAUGAUGGCCUAGAUUUCCGGACCUACAGCAAGAUGUUGGAUGAAGGCCUAGAUUUCCGGACCUACAGCAAGAAGUUGGAUGAAGGCACAGCCCCUCGAAUCACGAACAUACACAGACACAUUGGCCCAAAUUCUAGAGGUAAUCUCCUUUAGUAUGCCCAGAGGAAGGGCAAUACAGUAGCCAUGGAUUCCCUACAGGUUUCCUCCCCUCUGGAGGUUUUUCCUGUCCUGAGUUAGUUACUGUACGCUCUUUGUGAGUGAUGGGAGGUUACAAAAAAUCCCUACACAAACACUUUUAUAAAUAAUAAAUAAA